CUAACACAUGCAAGUCGAGCGGCAGCGGAAAGUAGCUUGCUACUUUGCCGGCGAGCGGCGGACGGGUGAGUAAUGUCUGGGAAACUGCCUGAUGGAGGGGGAUAACUACUGGAAACGGUAGCUAAUACCGCAUAACGUCGCAAGACCAAAGAGGGGGACCUUCGGGCCUCUUGCCAUCAGAUGUGCCCAGAUGGGAUUAGCUAGUAGGUGGGGUAACGGCUCACCUAGGCGACGAUCCCUAUCUGGUCUGAGAGGAUGACCAGCCACACUGGAACUGAGACACGGUCCAGACUCCUACGGGAGGCAGCAGUGGGGAAUAUUGCACAAUGGGCGCAAGCCUGAUUGCACCAUGCCGCG
rnacentral:rRNA from 1 species